rnacentral:tRNA from 1 species
GCGUGUAGCUCAGUGAUAAAGUACUUGCUUAGCAUGUGGGAGGCCCUGGGUUCCAUCCCCAGCACUGCA